UUCGGAUCGAAGUCUGCAACCCGACUUCGUGAAGCUGGAUUCGUUAGUAAUCGCGCAUCAGCCACGGCGCGGUGAAUACGUUCCCGGGCCUUGUACACACCGCCCGUCAAGCCAUGGGAGCCGGGGGUACCUGAAGUGCGUAACCGCGAGGAGCGCCCUAGGGUAAAACUGGUGACUGGGGCUAAGUCGUAACAAGGUAAC
rnacentral:rRNA from 1 species